CCUACGGGAGGCAGCAGUAAGGAAUAUUGGUCAAUGGACGCAAGUCUGAACCAGCCAUGCCGCGUGCAGGAUGACGGCCCUCUGGGUUGUAAACUGCUUUUAUACGGGAAGAAACCUCUGGUUGCGAUCAGAGCUGACGGUACCGUAAGAAUAAGGACCGGCUAACUUCGUGCCAGCAGCCGCGGUAAUACGAAGGGUCCAAGCGUUAUCCGGAUUUAUUGGGUUUAAAGGGUGCGUAGGCGGCUUAUUAAGUCAGUGGUGAAAGACUUCAGCUUAACUGAAGAACUGCCAUUGAUACUGAUGAGCUUGAAUAUACUUGAGGUGGGCGGAAUGUGUCAUGUAGCGGUGAAAUGCUUAGAUAUGACACAGAACACCGAUUGCGAAGGCAGCUCGCUAAAGUAUGAUUGACGCUGAUGCACGAAAGCGUGGGGAGCAAACAGGAUUAGAUACCCUGGUAGUCCACGCCCUAAACGUUGAUAACUCGAUGUGUGCGAUAUACAGUACGCGUCCAAGCGAAAGCAUUAAGUUAUCCACCUGGGAAGUACGGUCGCAAGAUUGAAACUCAAAAGUAGUAGUACGGACGUUGNGAGAGCGACGACGACGACGACGGAGGGAGGAG
rnacentral:rRNA from 1 species